GGGAUAUACUAUCUUAUUGCAAAGGGAUUCUACAAUUCAACUCAAACGUACGCACCACAAUGAAAUAAAUAACCCAAAGUGAACAAAAUCACAAAUCUUACACAAUGCGUACUUGAUCUAUUCACAAAUAGAUAUAAAUUAAAACAAAUAACAAAAGGCUUCACAAUCAAGUCACUAAAUAAUUCAUCAUCUUCUGCAACUUUCCAAGCCCUGCCAUAGAUGCAAAAUGAACCCUUGAGGCCAAUUUCCCAGAAGAACUCAAUAAUAAUAUGAUAUGGAAGAUGACAACAAGAGAAGAAGAUGCGAUCUGAUCCCAACUAUGAAUGUUUGAAUUAUGCUCUGUUUUUGUAAUAGGACCCUUAUUAUUCAAUGGGCUGAAUUCACCACCUCUAAUUGUUUCACUAAUGAAGCCUUCCUUUAUUCCACUUUUGAAAAUAAAACAAGAUUGGUGUCGAGCUUUUUUAGAGCUUAAUAAUGGGGAGGUGGUGGUGGAGAUGCGUAAAUGUAAACUGGGGGAAGUGAUUUCUCUGGUGGUGGGGGAGAUUUGUAGUAGUAUGGGGGAGGAGGAGAAGGUGAAGGAGGGGGAGGAGAUUGAUAAUAGUAUGGCGGAGGAGGUGAUGGGGACGGUGGUGGUGGGGACUUGUAGUAG
rnacentral:misc_RNA from 1 species